AACCUACACCUUAUCCGCCAGGGAAUUACGAGCCCAAGCUUAAAACCCAAAGGACUUGACGGUGUCCCACCCACCUAGAGGAGCCUGUUCUAUAAUCGAUUCCCCCCGAUACACCUCACCAUUUCUAGCUUUCUCAGCCUGUAUACCUCCGUCGCAAGCUUACCAUGUGAACGUUUUCCUAGUGAGCAGAAAAAUCAUUUCAUAAAUACGUCAGGUCAAGGUGCAGCCCACGAAAUGGGAAGCAAUGGGCUACAAUUUCUACCUUAGAACACACGAAAGACCACAUGCAACUCAGUCAUGAAGGCGGAUUUAGCAGUAAAAAGAAAAUAGAGAGUUCUUUUUAAUCAGGCGCUGGGACGCGUACACACCGCCCGUCACCCUCUUCAAACGCCCACAUCCAGUAUUUAACAUAAAACUGCAUUACAGAAGAGGUAAGUCGUAACACGGUAAGCGUACUGGAAAGUGCGCUUGGAUA
rnacentral:rRNA from 1 species